rnacentral:rRNA from 1 species
AUGCAGUCGAGCGGACAGAAGGGAGCUUGCUCCCGGAUGUUAGCGGCGGACGGGUGAGUAACACGUGGGUAACCUGCCUGUAAGACUGGGAUAACUCCGGGAAACCGGAGCUAAUACCGGAUAGUUCCUUGAACCGCAUGGUUCAAGGAUGAAAGACGGUUUCGGCUGUCACUUACAGAUGGACCCGCGGCGCAUUAGCUAGUUGGUGAGGUAACGGCUCACCAAGGCGACGAUGCGUAGCCGACCUGAGAGGGUGAUCGGCCACACUGGGACUGAGACACGGCCCAGACUCCUACGGGAGGCAGCAGUAGGGAAUCUUCCGCAAUGGACGAAAGUCUGACGGAGCAACGCCGCGUGAGUGAUGAAGGUUUUCGGAUCGUAAAGCUCUGUUGUUAGGGAAGAACAAGUGCAAGAGUAACUGCUUGCACCUUGACGGUACCUAACCAGAAAGCCACGGCUAACUACGUGCCAGCAGCCGCGGUAAUACGUAGGUGGCAAGCGUUGUCCGGAAUUAUUGGGCGUAAAGGGCUCGCAGGCGGUUUCUUAAGUCUGAUGUGAAAGCCCCCGGCUCAACCGGGGAGGGUCAUUGGAAACUGGGAAACUUGAGUGCAGAAGAAGAGAGUGGAAUUCCACGUGUAGCGGUGAAAUGCGUAGAGAUGUGGAGGAACACCAGUGGCGAAGGCGACUCUCUGGUCUGUAACUGACGCUGAAGAGCGAAAGCGUGGGGAGCGAACAGGAUUAGAUACCCUGGUAGUCCACGCCGUAAACGAUGAGUGCUAAGUGUUAGGGGGUUUCCGCCCCUUAAUGCUGCAGCUAACGCAUUAAGCACUCCGCCUGGGGAGUACGGUCGCAAGACUGAAACUCAAAGGAAUUGACGGGGGCCCGCACAAACGGUGGAGCAUGUGGUUUAAUUCCAAGCAACCCCGAAGAACCUUACCAGGUCUUGACAUCCUCUGACAACCCUAGAGAUAGGGCUUUCCCUUCCGGGACAAAAUGACAAGUGGUGCAUGGUUUUCCUCACCUCCCGGCCCUGGAAAGUUUGGUUUAAUUCCCCCAACCAAGCGCCAACCCUUGAACUUAAUUUGCCACCAUUCAAAUUGGGGCACCCUAAAGGGAACUGCCCGGUGACAAACCCGAAGAAAAGGGUGGUAUGAAGGCCAAAUCACCAUGGCCCCUUUAGAACCUGGGCCUAAAC